rnacentral:lncRNA from 1 species
CAUGACUCAUGAGUGUUGUCACAUCUCUGUAAUUUGGGUUUAUGAUGAUACUCUAUACUAUUUAUUGUAGCUUUAUUAGAUCUCAACCUGUGGAAGUAAUCUAAUACAAACGACACUUGUAUGGAAUUUUCAGGACAUGUUUCUAAGAUCACAGAGGAUACGAUACUCUCUAGGUUUGAGGACUAGCUCCAGUUACGCUUUUGGGUCCAGUGAAUGUAUGAUACCCAUUAUGUGGUCCAAAAAGAAUGAGAUUUGACGGACGCUCUAGUGGCCAAAUUCAUAUGGCUACCUUCACUCUAUGCCUUAAGAGCUGAAAAGUUUCCGUGGUUUCGAAUACUUUGCUUCUUUCAGAUUAACGAAAACCCUAUUUAGUUGCAAAGACUGAGAAGAGAAUAAGAGUCGAGGGACCAUAUAAAGCUUGUAAUUGUACGUUUAUGCGGAUUCUCCACUUUCCAUGGCUGUGAGAAACUAUCUGAGGAAAAGUGCAGUGACCUUUGGCAAAAGAUCACUGAAUAAAUUUUCUGGUGGUCUGAGAACUCGCUGCAGUGAAUGAAUGAGAUCCAUGUAAGUGGCCCCAAAAGAACAUAAUUUACAACACUCUGGUAGGUAAAUUCAUGUGGAUACUAAAACUGACUCAUUUAUGGCUAAAAAGUAUUGAUUUGGUACAUGAAUUCAUCAGCUUAACCGUUGAAGUGGGAAGCUAUCCUAGUGGUAAAUAAGUUGAUCUCUGGCCCUUUCCAGGUGGCAAAAAGUGAAGGCUUUACAGUGUCACCCUUUUUCUUUUGGUUGCGUCGUUAUUCUUUAGUGCCAGUAUAUACCUUGGAAAAAGUGAGCUAUUAUUCUAAAAGAUAGACCAAGAAAUAGAUUUCUCACACUGAAUAUCUUUGUUCAUUUGGAUGGUCCAUAGGCAUUGACAUAUUCUGCUAGUAGUGGUUGUGAGUGAUAGAAUCUUGUUAUCCGAGACAACCUCGUGGGAAUGGAUUUAGCACCAAUGCUAAUCACUAAUCAGUACAAGAAUAUGCGUUGAUGUAAUUGUACCUAUUAGCAUUGUUCACUCAGGAUUCUUGGUUAUUUGUUACCUGACUAUUCAGUGUGUGAUUUUAUUGGAGUUUUACAUGUUUACACUUGUCUCUGUAAUCUACUUUUGGUAUAAAAUCAUAUUGAGUACAACUUUCUUUUCUCAGGGAUGUGCGAAAUUGUCUUUGGGGCGGCAUAAGUGGAAUCAUUUAUCUUCUACGUGAUAAAGUGAUGUGGAAAGUGUCACCAAGAAAGGAAUCAUUAACUUUGAACUUAGGCAAGGUGAGUUACGUGUUGACUGUUCUUGGUACAGCUAGCUAUACUAAUGCAUAUCUCUUUGUAGCAUCAGUUUGAAUUUAGACUGUAGGGCAGUAUUUCAUAGAUAAGAGGACUUCUACCAAGUGGGCAAAAUUUGUAUUAACUUACAGCAGCUAAGUAUGAGUGUAUAUCUAAUUAACUCGUACUAGUUAGGCAAAACUAGUAAACUACAGACCCUAUAUGCAUAAAACCGUGGUAAUAACUUGCAGGAAUUUCAAACCAGAAGUAAUUUACAAGCAUGCAGUCUAGUUUUGCCAUAGCAGCAUCAGAAUGAUGGAACAAUUCCAUAUCCGGUGUCAAAUGUUAUCAUUGUGGAGAAAGCUUGGACUCUAGCUUCUCUGUCCCUUGGACUGAGCAUCUGAGCUGGAGGGUAAGGUGGUUGGUCUGUUACCGCUUUGGGCGAUCUUGGGUUUGAUACUGUUGCGUCACUCGUUGUUGACUCCGGCACAACUCCCAGGUCCAUAGAUGAAACAUUCACCUAAUGACAGUAACAAAGACAUUCUUAGAAAUUUACUUCAUGGAUUUGUGUGAAAGAAGCAGCAUGCUGGUCAUAGUAACGGAUCUGAAUUAAAUAUAUGAAAGCUUACCAUAUGACUGAGGGAACCAUUGGAGCUUCGAAGAGCUCCCCAGGAGCCACAGUUGAUACUCAGCUGAAAGUUCUGUUGCUCUUGGUACAUGCCCUUUGAUACUUCAAUUUGAAGUGGAACAACUCCAUCUUCCCCAUAGCUCCUCUGAGGUACGUUGCAGUCUAGUUGAUACUGAUUGGAUUGAUCUGUGAAUUGCUUAUCACUCGAACUAUAAUCAACAAGGUUCAGAAACUCAUCCCCAAUCGAGAAGCCAUUGUUGUUACCACUGUUUUUCCCUGAAUUAGGCAACAACCAUGAAGCCGCCUCUGCUUCAUCUUCAUCCUCUUCUUCUUGACCAAGCACAAGUCUGUUCUCUGGAUCUGUCACUGUUGUCUCACAUGAAUGGUUAGUGGCCGUGGAACUGUAAGAGUACUCAGAAAUGGGCAGAAUUGGAACUCGUUGAUGGCGUCUAGCAAGUGGGUUUGCGGAAUGAAUCUCUGAAUCACAGGUUGUGCAUAGAGAUGCAGCAUCUGCCUUGCAGAAAAAGGCAGCCGGGGCUCGCUCACAUGAUUGACAGACUCGAACACGUUCAUGGCGGGAAGCAAGACGAUUGGCAGCAUGAACUUGAGCAUCACAACUGGAGCACAAGUAGGCAGAAUCAGCCCGGCAGUACACGGUGCAGGCGGCUGAUCGGCAUGUAUCACAGGCUUGUGCCCAGUUACUCUCUACUUUCAACAUACUAACCGCAGAUGUUGUAGUUGUUUGAUGGUGAGUGAGAUCGUAUGUAAAGGCAGCAGGGGACUAAGAAGGCUAUAUUAGUUGUUGAAUGGAAAUGGAAAGGAAGGAUAGAAUUCUGAGGGCUGGACACGUGGCGAGAAGUUUGUGGGUUUGAUGUUGAGUGAUCAUCUUGUGGCUGGCUGAGUUUUUGAGAAGGGGUCCAGUGCAGAGAUGCUUACAGCUUUGGAAUCAUCAACCAGCACGAAAUGUGAAAGAAAGAAAAAAACUAAUUGUCUUCUUAUAUCUUUGCAAUGGCACCAAUAGUUACUACUUUUUCUCUCUUUCUUCCUCAAUAAGUGUAAACACCUCUUCCUAUGUAAUCUUCUAUAGGACCCAUCCACAUGUUACCUAGGUUCUGAAACGUGCAACUUCUAACUAUUUUUGUAUCAUCUACUACUAUUUUGGUAAAG